rnacentral:lncRNA from 1 species
GUCAUUGCUCCACUGCCCUGGCCUUCUGGUGGUAUGGAUGGACAUGGAGCACUAGAACAGGGGUAAUUGUGCCAGGACAAUAAGGGACACAAAUUAUGUUAUUUACUUAUUUUGUUUUUCACAAAUGUCAGGGUCAAGAUGUGCCCUUGGUGGGUGGAGCCCUAGGGUCCUUGUUGCAUCUCCUAGUGGAGAAGAGUAGUUUUUGGUCCCUCUUCCUAUUCAGCUUGCUGGAUGGGCUAAGCCAUACCCUCAUCGGGGCUUCUUAAAAGGAGCUUGGGUCUAAUGCUGUGGUUCCAGUGCCACUGGAGUCUGCAGGGCUACCCACUGGUCUUGCCCAUUCCACCCUGGCUUGGGCAUUUGAGAGGAGAGAGCCUUUAUCUUUCUUUUCUGCAUAGCCACAUUGUUCUCCUUACUCUGUAGUCUGGAUAAAAAGCCUCCAUCAUCAGGCCUUCAUCCCUAUGGUGGGGCAACUAAGCUCUUUUGAAGGGAGAAUCCAAUGACUCAGGAUAGAGAGUGAAUCAAAGUAAGUUGAUGGGCAUUUCUUGCACUAUACCCUCAGCUUGUUGCAUCCGGAGGCAUGCCCUUGACCCAGCAGCCUUGUGUCCUGGCUCCUUCAUGUUUAACUGGAAGCAUGGGGGUCAGCUCGGUCACUCUCCCAGAAUAACUGUGGAGGGGUGGGGGGAGAGUAUGCCACUCUGGGAGGGGCUGUGGGGCUGUGCAGGAGCACCAACCCCCCCUUCUUCUUUGGGUUGCCCAGUUGCAUAGCCAAUCAGCUGCUCCUGAGCCUAAACUUUCCUUUCAAGGCAUGUGGGCAGAGAUGAGCCUUGGAUGGAGAUGCAGCCUGCGCAGCUGCUAGCCCCGCUGGGGCCUUGACUUUGCACAUGGCCUUCUCUUCCUACCCCUCAGUUUCCCCUUGGCUUUCUUACUUUCUUCUGGCAACAGCAUGGCCCAAAGAAACAGGUGGCGCUCAGGGACUCCUGUUCCCCCUUGGUUCUAAUACCCGCACCUAGAAAUUAGGCUCCUACUUUCAUUUAAAUCCAAGUCUUCUAAUCCAAGCAAUGGUUGAAAAUUUACAGGUUGUCUAAUCCUUGCCUUGAAUCUACAGCUCCUGCCUGGCUCUGGCAAAUUCUUCUCUAUGCCUGGUACUCUUUUAACAACGUGGUCGCACCUUAAUGCCUGCAGGCAUAGGGCUGACAGUACUUGUAUCUUAGAGAUGGUGACUUCAGGUCAGGAAGAACUCAUUCUAAGCUCUGUGAGAGGUACAGCUCUAGGGCCAGGGAUAGAGGGUAGCCAGCCCUAUAACUCUCUCUUUGCCCAUUUAGAAUGGGAAGAGGGUAUUCCCUUUGUAAACUGUG